AGUCGAGAGAACCUGCGCCGAAAAUAAUCGGGGCUAAAACACACCACCGAAGCUACGGAUUUCCUACUAAGUAGGAAGUGGUAGAGGAGCAUACUGCAAGGACGAAGCCAAAUCGAGAGAGAUGGUGGACGAAGCAGUAGAGAGAAUGCCGGAAUGAGUAGCGAGAUAUAUGUGAGAACCAUAUAGGCCGAAUAUCUAAGGUUUCCUGGGUGAAGCUAAUCUACCCAGGGUAAGUCGGGACCUAAGGCGAGGACGAGAGUCGUAGUCGAUGGACAACUGGUAGAGAUUCCAGUACUAUGUAUGAUCAGAACUGUGGGGACGCAGGAGGAUAGAUGGACCGCGGAAAGGGAAGACGCGGCCAAGCACAAAGGCGAGGUCAGUAGGCAAAUCCGCUGAUUGAUGUUGAAGUGUGACGGGGACUGAAAGAAAGUAAGGAAGUCAUUGAUCCACACUGCCGAGAAAAGCCGCUAUUGUGUCAUACAUACCCGUACCGCAAACCGACACAGGUAGAUGAGGAGAAAAUCCACAGGCCGACGGGAGAAGUGUUGUUAAGGAACUCGGCAAAAUGACCCCGUAACUUAGGGAGAAGGGGAGCCACGAGAAGUGGUCACAGAGAAGAGGCUCAAGCAACUGUUUAGCAAAAACACAGGUCUCUGCGAAACCGAAAGGUGAAGUAUAGGGGCUGACACCUGCCCGGUGCUGGAAGGUUAAAAGGAGAGGUUCGGAGAAAUCCAAAGCUUUGAAUUCAAGCCCCAGUAAACGGCGGCCGUAACUAUAACGGUCCUAAGGUAGCGAAAUUCCUUGUCAGGUAAGUUCUGACCCGCACGAAAGGUGUAAUGAUUUGAGCACUGUCUCGACAACACGCCCGGUGAAAUUGAAGAACCGGUGAAGAUACCGGUUACCCGCAACAGGACGGAAAGACCCCAUGGAGCUUUACUGCAGCCUGAUACUGGGAUUCGAUGAUGUAUGUACAGGAUAGGUGGGAGACUAUGAAGGGAGUACGCCAGUAUUCCUGGAGUCGACGGUGGGAUACCUCUCUUACAUCAUUGGGUUUCUAACCUGCAGCCGUAAUCCGGAUGAGGGACAAUGUCAGGCGGGCAGUUUGACUGGGGCGGUCGCCUCCAAAAGAGUAACGGAGGCGCUCAAAGGUCUUCUCAGAAUGAUUGGAAACCAUUCAAAGAGUGUAAAGGCAAAAGAAGGCUUGACUGCGAGGCCGACGGGCCGAGCAGGUACGAAAGUAGGACUUAGUGAUCCGGUGGUAAUACGUGGGAAUGCCAUCGCUCAACGGAUAAAAGCUACCCUGGGGAUAACAGGCUGAUCUCCCCCAAGAGUUCACAUCGACGGGGAGGUUUGGCACCUCGAUGUCGGCUCAUCGCAUCCUGGGGCUGAAGUAGGUCCCAAGGGUUGGGCUGUUCGCCCAUUAAAGCGGUACGCGAGCUGGGUUCAGAACGUCGUGAGACAGUUCGGUCCCUAUCCGUUGUGGGCGUAGGAAAUUUGAGAGGAGCUGUCCUUAGUACGAGAGGACCGGGAUGGACGAACCGCUGGUGUAUCUGUUGCAUACCAAAUGCACGGCAGAGUAGCUAUGUUCGGAACGGAUAAACGCUGAAGGCAUCUAAGCGUGAAGCCCCCCUCAAGAUGAGAUUUCCCAUUCGAAAGAAGUAAGACCCCUUGAAGACUACGAGGUAGAUAGGUCAGAGGUGUAAGUACAGUAAUGUAUUUAGCUUACUGAUACUAAUAGGUCGAGGGCUUGACCGA
rnacentral:rRNA from 1 species